GAUCCUGGCUCAGAUUGAACGCUGGCGGCAGGCCUAACACAUGCAAGUCGAACGGUAACAGGAAACAGCUUGCUGUUUCGCUGACGAGUGGCGGACGGGUGAGUAAUGUCUGGGAAACUGCCUGAUGGAGGGGGAUAACUACUGGAAACGGUAGCUAAUACCGCAUAACGUCGCAAGACCAAAGAGGGGGGACCUUCGGGCCUCUUGCCAUCGGAUGUGCCCAGAUGGGAUUAGCUUGUUGGUGGGUAACGG
rnacentral:rRNA from 1 species